rnacentral:lncRNA from 1 species
UCCUUACUGACUAUUCAAUAUUUAAAACAUCACCAAAUUUAGACUACUAUUAGUUGAAAGGUGCAGUGCAGUUAAACAUCUAUUUCACAAGUAUUUCAAAAUAUGACAACUAGAAGAAGCAUGAAGAUAUGACUGCUCAGGUAACCGCUCAGGGUCAACAUUACUGUUGACGGUUUCAUCAAGGUGUCAAACUUUCAACAAGUUCUGAGUCUCAUCACAGCAGUCAGACUUUUGACAAUAAAAAAGAACCACCAGCAAGAAAGAGAGACAAAUCAAGUACUUUGCUAGCAUAUGUUAGAAAAAGGUGACCCAGACUUGCUUUGGAUGGAGGCAUAGUAGUCAAUAUUGUAUAUAAGAGAUCUUCACAAACUGCUGAGCCUAUACUUUUAUAAUAUGAACUUAAUCCCUGUACUUUUGACCUAGCUGUCUUGACAAUGACUCUAUGUGUUGUUCAAGGAAUUAAAAAAUGUCUUAAUUAACCUCCUUAAUAGUUUCAUCAAGGAGUCAAACUUUCAACAAGUUCUGGGUAUCAUCACAGCAGACGACUUUUUCUACAUCUUAAAAACACCAAUAAUGGGAUUUCACUGGGUAUGUUGUUGUUGUAAAAACACCAAUAAACAAAAGAGAAAAAUUAUGUGUGUUUUUCAAGUAUAUGUAAGAGAUUAAGGAACAAGAAUUUCCAAAAUACUGAUUGUGCUGGAACGAAUAGUUGAGAAGAAAAUCAAUCAACGAAUCAACAACACCUCAUUCCAGACGGCUGUGUCAGUUAUUUGUAUCCUAUGUCUCCUUUCCAGCUAUUUCAAUAUUUGAAAAAUCACCAAAUUUAGACUACUAUUUGUUGAAAGGUUCAUUGCAGUUGAACAUUAAUUUCACAAGCAUUUCAAAAUAUGACAACUAGAAGAAGCAUGAAGAUAUGACUGCUCAGGUAACCGCUCAGGGUCAACAUUACUGUUGACGGUUUCAUCAAGGUGUCAAACUUUCAACAAGUUCUGAGUCUCAUCACAGCAGUCAGACUUUUGACAAUAAAAAAGAACCACCAGCAAGAAAGAGAGACAAAUCAAGUACUUUGCUAGCAUAUGUUAGAAAAA